rnacentral:rRNA from 1 species
AGAGUUUGAUUAUGGCUCAGGACGAACGCUGGCGGUGCGCUUAAUGCAUGCAAGUCGGACGGGCAAAGGGGCUUCGGCCUCGGCGCUAGUGGCAGACGGCUGAGUAACACGUAAGAAUCUGCCCCGGAGCGGGGAAUAAUCCGGAGAAAUUCGGUCUAAUACCCCGUACGUUGAGCGAGUUUAGGCUCGCUGAAGAAAGGCUUCGGUCGCUCUGGGAGGAGCUUGCGGCUUAUCAGGUAGUUGGCGGGGUAAAGGCCCACCAAGCCGAAGACGGGUAGCCGAUGUGAGAGCAUGAUCGGUCAGAGGGGGACUGAGACACGGCCCCCACUCCUACGGGAGGCAGCAGCAGGGAAUCUUGCGCAAUGGGCGAAAGCCUGAACGCAGCGACACCGCGUGAGGGAAGAAGGCCUCAGGGCUGUAAACCUCUUUUAUGAGGGAAGAGAUAGGACGGUACCUCAUGAAUAAGAAUCGGCUAACUACGUGCCAGCAGCCGCGGUAAUACGUAGGAUUCGAGCGUUGUCCGGAUUUACUGGGCGUAAAGGGUGUGUAGGGCGGCACGGCAAGUCUCAUGUGAAAUCUCCCGGCUCAACUGGGAGGGGUCAUGGGAAACUGCCGAGCUUGAGGGCAGCAGGGGAAAGCGGAAUUCCGGGAGUAGUGGUGAAAUGCGUAGAUACCCGGAGGAACACCAGAGGCGAAGGCGGCUUUCUGGGCUGUGCCUGACGCUGAGACACGAAAGCGUGGGGAGCAAACCGGAUUAGAUACCCGGGUAGUCCACGCCCUAAACGAUGGAUACUAGAUAUGGGGGGUAUCGACCCCUCCCGUGUCGGAGUUAACGCGAUAAGUAUCCCGCCUGGGGAGUACGGCCGCAAGGCUAAAACUCAAAGGAAUUGACGGGUCCCCGCACAAGCGGCGGAGCGUGUGGUUUAAUUCGAUGAUAAGCGAAGAACCUUACCUGGGCUUGACAUGCGUCUGACGGUUCGCGAAAGCGGGCCUUCCUUCGGGACAGGCGCACAGAUGUUGCAUGGCUGUCGUCAGCUCGUGCCGUGAGGUGUUGGGUUAAGUCCCGCAACGAGCGCAACCCUCGUCGUUAGUUACUAUGUCUAGCGAGACUGCUCCUAAAAGGGGAGAGGAAGGUGGGGACGACGUCAAGUCGGCACGGCUCUUACGCUCAGGGCUACACACACGCUACAAUGGUCGGAACAGAGGGUCGCGAGGGCGCGAGCCGGAGCUAAUCCCAAAAAUCCGGCCUCAGUUGGAAUUGCAGGCUGCAACUCGCCUGCAUGAACGCGGAGUCGCUAGUAAUCGCAGGUCAGCACACUGCGGUGAAUACGUUCCCGGGGAUUGUACACAC